ensembl:misc_RNA Metazoa_SRP Metazoan signal recognition particle RNA
GCUGGCUAUGAUGGUUUGUGCCUAUAGUCAUAGUUACUGUGAAGGCUGAGGUGUGACGAUUGCUUGAGCUAAGGAGUUUGGGACUGUAGGGCACUGUGCUGAUUGGGUGUCCAUACUGAGACUGGCAUCAAUGUGGUGGCCUCCUAGGAGCAGGGAGAACUACCAGGUUGCCUAAGUGAAGGUGAAUGAGCCCAGGUCAGAAAUGGACCAGGUCAGAACCCCCCUGCUCAUCAGUAGUGGAAUCUUGCUUGUGAAUAGCCAUUGCACUCCAGCCUGUGCAACAUAGCAAGACCCUGUCUCUA